UACGUAGGGUGCGAGCGUUGUCCGGAAUUAUUGGGCGUAAAGAGCUCGUAGGUGGCUUAGUAAGUCGGGUGUGAAACCUCCAGGCUCAACCUGGAGACGCCACCCGAUACUGCUAUAGCUUGAGUCCGGUAGGGGAGCGUGGAAUUCCUGGUGUAGCGGUGAAAUGCGCAGAUAUCAGGAGGAACACUAGCGGCGAAGGCGGCGCUCUGGGCCGGUACUGACACUGAGGAGCGAAAGCGUGGGGAGCAAACGGG
rnacentral:rRNA from 1 species